UUGGAGGGCAAGUCUGGUGCCAGCAGCCGCGGUAAUUCCAGCUCCAAUAGCGUAUAUUAAAGUUGUUGCAGUUAAAAAGCUCGUAGUUGAAUUUCGGAAUCCAUCCGUCGGUCGGGCCUCACGGUCCGCACUGGUGUGAUGGAUUUCUACCUUCUGAAUAACCAGCAUGUCAUUAAUUUGGUGCGUUGGGGAAGCAGGACUGUUACCUUGAAAAAAUUAGAGUGCUUAAAGCAGGCUAGUGCCUGAGUACAUUAGCAUGGAAUAAUGAAAUAGGACGGCAUGGUUCUAUUUUGUUGGUUUCUAGGAUCACCGUAAUGAUUAAUAGGGAUAGUUGGGGGCAUUAGUAUUCAAUUGUCAGAGGUGAAAUUCUUGGAUUUAUUGAAGACUAACUUCUGCGAAAGCAUUUGCCAAGGAUGUUUUCAUUAAUCAAGAACGAAAGUUAGGGGAUCGAAGACGAUCAGAUACCGUCGUAGUCUUAACCAUAAACUAUGCCGACUAGGGAUCGGACGAUGUUAAUUUUUUAAUGACUCGUUCGGCGCCUUACGGGAAAC
rnacentral:rRNA from 1 species